UAAAGGCAGCCUGGAUCCCAUAA
rnacentral:misc_RNA from 1 species